CUANCAUGCAGUCGAACGAUGAACCACUUCGGUGGGGAUUAGUGGCGAACGGGUGAGUAACACGUGGGCAAUCUGCCCUGCACUCUGGGACAAGCCCUGGAAACGGGGUCUAAUACCGGAUACUGAUCCUCGCAGGCAUCUGCGAGRUUCGAAAGCUCCGGCGGUGCAGGAUGAGCCCGCGGCCUAUCAGCUAGUUGGUGAGGUAACGGCUCACCAAGGCGACGACGGGUAGCCGGCCUGAGAGGGCGACCGGCCACACUGGGACUGAGACACGGCCCAGACUCCUACGGGAGGCAGCAGUGGGGAAUAUUGCACAAUGGGCGAAAGCCUGAUGCAGCGACGCCGCGUGAGGGAUGACGGCCUUCGGGUUGUAAACCUCUUUCAGCAGGGAAGAAGCGAAAGUGACGGUACCUGCAGAAGAAGCGCCGGCUAACUACGUGCCAGCAGCCGCGGUAAUACGUAGGGCGCAAGCGUUGUCCGGAAUUAUUGGGCGUAAAGAGCUCGUAGGCGGCUUGUCACGUCGGUUGUGAAAGCCCGGGGCUUAACCCCGGGUCUGCAGUCGAUACGGGCAGGCUAGAGUUCGGUAGGGGAGAUCGGAAUUCCUGGUGUAGCGGUGAAU
rnacentral:rRNA from 1 species